rnacentral:rRNA from 1 species
GACUGCAGGCNGCAACUCGCCUGCACGAAGUCGGAAUUGCUAGUAAUCGCGGAUCAGAAUGCCGCGGUGAAUACGUUCCCGGGCCUUGUACACACCGCCCGUCACACCAUGGGAGUCGGUAACACCCGAAGUCGGUGGUCUAACCGCAAGGAGGACGCCGCCGAAGGUGGGAUUGAUGACUGGGGUGAAGUCGUAACAAGGUACC